ACUUACGGCCGUUCCACCCUGAUCUAGCCAGAUCUCGUCUGAUCUUGGAAGCCAAACAAGGUCGGGCCUGAUUAGUAUUUUGAUGGGAGAUUGCCUGGGAGUACCAGGUGCUGUACACU
ensembl:rRNA 5S_rRNA 5S ribosomal RNA